GCUGGGCACAGAGGUGCACGCCUGUAAUCCCAGCAGCUUGGUAGGCUGAGGCAGGAGAAUCAUGAGUUCAAAGCCAGCCUCAGCAAAAGUGAGGCACUGAGCAACUCAGUGAGACCCUGUCUCUA
rnacentral:sRNA from 1 species